UUUGUGUAGUCUUAGAUUACAUGAGUCCUAGUUGGGAGUUAAGACUGGGACCGGGCAAUUUUGCAUGAUAAAUUAGAAUUACAAUUUUGCUCUUUGAUCCAGUCUUGGCUUGUGGCCUAUUUGUCUCGAGUAAGUAAGCCCAAAGGGUGUUUUACACCUAAUUCCUUAAAGCCAUCUGGUUUGAGAGUAAUUGGCCUAAAGUUCGUUACAAGAGCCAUUUAGAAAGCUUAAGAGGUCAAGACAUUGCACGGAUUGGAUAGUUUAAAAUCUCGU